rnacentral:rRNA from 1 species
UACGGAGGGUGCAAGCAUUAAUCGGAAUUAUUGGGCGUAAAGGGCGCGUAGGCGGGAGGAAAAGUCAGAUGUGAAAUUCCAAAGCUCAACUUUGGAGCUGCAUUUGAAACUUUCCAUCUUGAGGAUAGGCGGAGAAAAUGGAAUUCCACAAGUAGCGGUGAAAUGCGUAGAUAUGUGGAAGAACACCGGUGGCGAAAGCGGUUUUCUAGCUUAGACCUGACGCUGAGGCGCGAGAGCAAGGGGAGCAAAC